UUCAACAUAGCGCGCUUAACGAAGUUUCGAAAAAGUUUUCGCCAUUUGUUCUUUUUCAUUUUAAUGUUAUUUUUCAAAAAUAAUAUCCAUCUGAUUGAUUAUCAACGAUUGAAGAAUAUAUCGCAUCGUGAAAAAUUAUAUCGUAGUUUAUUCUCGUCCCGUUCAUGGCCAUGAUUCCUGUAACGCAACAUUGGAAAGGUCUCGACGAAAAUAUUCUCGAUCAUCUUCUUUUUUUCAAGUAAGAUCAAAUUUUUUUCGAAUAUUCUUACGUACGAACUUAAUAAGAGACGUAUUGAGAUGGAAUUGUAUCAA